rnacentral:tRNA from 1 species
GGGGUCAUAGCUUAGCUGGUAGAGCGCCUGCCUUGCACGCAGGAGGUCGUCGGUUCGACUCCGACUGGCUCCACCA